rnacentral:rRNA from 1 species
UACAGAGGUCCCAAGCGUUGUUCGGAUUUACUGGGCGUAAAGAGCGCGCAGGCGGUCGAGUAAGUCGAAUGUGAAAGCCCCCGGCUUAACUGGGGAGGGUCAUUCGAUACUGUUCGACUUGAAGGCAGGAGAGGGCAGCAGAAUUCCCGGUGUAGUGGUGAAAUGCGUAGAUAUCGGGAGGAAUACCAGUGGCGAAGGCGGCUGCCUGGCCUGUUCUUGACGCUGAGGCGCGAAAGCUGGGGGAGCAAACGGG